AUACUUACCUGGCCGGGGAGACACCCUGAUCGUGAAGGUGGUUUUCCCAGGGUGAGGCACAUCCAUUACGCCCUAGGUGUGCUGACCCCUGUAAUUUCCCCAAAUGCAGGAAAUGCAAAUGCAUAAUUUGUGGUAGUGAGGGACUGUGAUUGCACUUUCCCCUG
rnacentral:snRNA from 1 species